GAACGCACAUUGCGCCCAUUAGUAUUCUAGUGGGCAUGCCUGUUCGAGCGUCAUUAAGUCCACUUAAGCCCUGCUUAGUGUUGGGAACCUACAGAAGCUACCCUGUAGCUACCCUGUAGUUCCUUAAAGACAGCGGCGGAGUUGUAGUACCCUCUGAGCUUAGUAAUUUUUUCUAGCUUUCGAGAUGCUACUGCUUCUGCCGUUAAACACCCUUCUUCUGAAUGGUUGACCUCGGAUCAGGUAGGAAUACCCGCUGAACUUA
rnacentral:misc_RNA from 1 species